CGAACGCUGGCGGCAGGCCUAACACAUGCAAGUCGAACGCUCCGCAAGGGGAGUGGCGCACGGGUGAGUAACACGUGGGAACCUACCUUCUGGUACGGAACAACCAAGGGAAACUUUGGCUAAGACCGUAUACGACCUCCGGGUGAAAGAUUGAUCGCCGGAAGAGGGGCCCGCGUCCGAUUAGGUAGUUGGUGAGGUAACGGCUCACCAAGCCUUCGAUCGGUAGCUGGUCUGAGAGGAUGACCAGCCACACUGGGACUGAGACACGGCCCAGACUCCUACGGGAGGCAGCAGUGGGGAAUAUUGGACAAUGGGCGCAAGCCUGAUCCAGCCAUGCCGCGUGAGUGAUGAAGGCCUCGGUUGUAAG
rnacentral:rRNA from 1 species